GGGGAUGUAGCUCAGAUGGUAGAGCGCUCGCCUAGCAUGCGAGAAGUACGGGGAUCGAUACCCUGCAUCUCCA
rnacentral:tRNA from 1 species